AACGAACGCUGGCGGCAUGCCUAACACAUGCAAGUCGAACGAGACCUUCGGGUCUAGUGGCGCACGGGUGCGUAACGCGUGGGAACCUGCCUUUAGGUUCGGAAUAACUCACCGAAAGGU
rnacentral:rRNA from 1 species